UAAUUGUACACAUGAUGGAGAUGCUGGUGUACAAUGUUCAGGCUAUAAAGAAAGAUCCUAGUGAUGGGGAAUCAUGUCGAAGAAAUACACUAAAAACCUAAUUCUAAUCGAAGAUCGUAAGAAGUUUCGUCGAAAAUUUGAAACCUUAUGUAGAAAAUGCUGUAUGUUUGACAUUUUUAUCCAUUGUUGAAAUGUAUCUGUAAUAUUAUCAUAUAAAGUAAAUGUACAUAUUAUCAUAAUCUUUAAAAAAAAGUAAAAUGAUGAAGUUUUAUUUCUGUUAAGAAUAAAAUAUUAUUGACAAAUCAAAUGAUUUACUGAAUUACAUUAUCUUUGACAAUUGA